rnacentral:misc_RNA from 1 species
GAUGAAGAACGCAGCGAAAUGCGAUAAGUAAUGUGAAUUGCAGAAUUCAGUGAAUCAUCGAAUCUUUGAACGCACAUUGCGCCCCUUGGUAUUCCGAGGGGCAUGCCUGUUCGAGCGUCAUUACACCACUCAAGCUAUGCUUGGUAUUGGGCGUCGUCCUUAGUUGGGCACGCCUUAAAGACCUCGGCGAGGCCACUCCGGCUUUAGGCGUAGUAGAAUUUAUUCGAACGUCUGUCAAAGGAGAGGAACUCUGCCGACUGAAACCUUUAUUUUUCUAGGUUGACCUCGGAUCAGGUAGGGAUACCCGCUGAACUUAAGCAUAUCAAUAAGCGGAGGA